rnacentral:lncRNA from 1 species
AUGCAUCACAACACCAUACCAUUUCAAUUUUUGGUCAUGGUUAAACAAAGAACUUAAUGUCUCACUCAAAAAUGCUAAAAAGAAGAUUCAAGAAUCAUCAAUCCACCAUCACAUGCACCAUUACAAAGCUUCACUUUUAGCAUGCAAAUGAUAUCAACACAAAUCCACCUUGGCCGAAUAUCAUCUCCAUGACAUAGUAAAGAUUUGAACCAUGGGCUAUUUAGAACUCAAGCUAACUACUAAAACAUGCAUGCAUCUCAUGGAACAUCAUCAAACAUACCUUAGCCUAGUUACAUGCAUGGCCGAACCUCUUCAACAUUUCCUCCUUUCUUUCCUUUUGAAUUUUGGUCAAAGAUGUUCAAGGAUGAACACACAUUUUUUUUUCUUUGUUUUCUUUCUUCCAUUCACGGCAAAGGGGGGCAUAGAUGAGACCAUUUUUUUUUCAUCACUCCUCCCUUUCAUUAUUUAAUUACCAUGCUCAUUAUUUUAUUAUUUCCUCCCAUGAUUCACCAACACAACAUGUCUAUGACAUGUUUUGCCCAUCACCCUUUGUCCAUCCUAAUGUCAUGGUCGGCCACUACUAGAUGGGGGGAAAAAUUGACAUGCAAGUCCCCCCUUUUUCAACAUGCACUAAUAGGUCCUUAUGUUUUGAUCUAUCACAUUUCAAAAGUGUCACACAUAAGUCCUAUUGACUAAAUUCACAUGCAAUUUACUAAAUCAAAGCUUAAAACUUUCACACAUUCGUAUUCACAUAUAAUAGUCAUAAAAUAUGAAGGCUAAUUAUUUUUAUGACUCGAUUUUGUGGUCCCGAAACCACUUUUCGACUAGGGUCAAAUUAGGAGUGUCACAACUCUCCCCCCCUUUAGGGAUUUUCGUCCCCGAAAACUUCUACCGAUGCAUAGUUUAGGAUAAUGUCCUCUUAUUGAAUUAUAUUCAUAUAAACAUUAGCUCAUCGAUAGCAAUUGUAAUUCAUUAUUGAUUUCGCAUCGAUCUAUAAAAUCGUUUUCUUAUCUUAAAACAAAUACAUAAACAUUUCUACAAGUAUGCACAUUAUCUCAUUUUCUUGAUUUCAUAAGCAAUAAUCACUUAAUUUAAUUCACAAAUGCAUUUCAAACACAUAUUAAGCACAUAUUAACAUGUAUAAUUCACAUCAUCAACCCACAUAUUUGUAACCCACAUUUUCAUUCAUGUAUAAGCUGUAACCUGGCCGAAAGUACACAUAUACUCAAACAUCCCAAUAAAUAUCCUUUAUAACUCCAUCAUAUCUCACUAUUCAACUUAACCUAUUUCCAACAGGAAAUCAACUUCCACAUACCUGAACAUUGAAUUUAUUUAGCACAUUCAAUCACCGUUGACGAUACCCGUUGAAUCAUUCGAAAUCAUUAUGGAUACUCAUUAAGCACAUAUAGCUCUUACAAUGCCAUAUCCUAGAUAUGGUCUUACAUAUUCUCACAUAUCGAGCCGAUGCCAUGUCCCAGACAUGGUCUUACACACUAUCUCAAAUCAAUGCGUUCGUCCCAGACGAGGUCUUACAUGAAUUCCACUUCACACACUUAGUGCCCACUGACCGUUCUCGCACUCAUAGUGCUCGGUUAAAGGAAUUCGCACAAACACAGUGCCUCUAAUCAUUCACACACAUAGUGCUCUUAUUCAUUCGUUAUUACACAUUGAAAUGACUUAACCAAGUCUAUAAACAUCAUGUAUAUACACUUUUAAACAUAUCAUCUCAUUUAAAUUUGAAUUCGUAUAGUAAUGAACACUUAAACUUUGCUCAAAUUACCAGCACGAAGCCUACUAGGCACGAAGGCCCGAAUACACGUCACCAGCAUGAUUGCUCUUCGGGACCUAGCCCGGAUAUAACACCAGCACGAAUGCUCUUCGGGGUUUAGCACGGAUAUAUCACUAGCACGAAAGCUCUUCGGAACUUAGUCCGGAUACAUCACUAGCACGAAUGCUCUUCGAGACUUAGCCCGGAUACAUCACUAGCACGAAUGCUCUUCAAAACUUAGCCCGGAUACAUCACUAGCACGAAUGCUCUUCGAGACUUAGCCCGGAUACAUCACUAGCACGAAUGCUCUUCGAGACUUAGCCCGGAUACAUCACUAGCACGAAUGCUCUUCGAGACUUAGCCCGGAUACAUCACUAGCACGAAUGCUCUUCGAGACUUAGCCUCGAUACAUCACUAGCACGAAUGCUCUUCGGGACUUAGCCCGGAUACAUCACUCUCAAUUCUCAUGUACAUAUACACAUAUAGCAAUACACAUUAGUAUAUCAUUUACAUUACUUGAAUACAAACACAACAUGCUUAUCGACCAUUCAACUUCCAGUUCCAUAGCCACAUACAAAAAUCACAUUUAUAGUCAUAACACUCCUUCAAAAUUGCAUCACUUAUACCCUUAUAAUUCAAUCCAAAUCGAAAUUCAAAUACGAGUACAUGAUACGUACCUGAUCAACUUAAUAAUUUAGGCAUAUCUAAGUGAAGUUAUAUCGCAGAUUCUCAUAGUCAGAAGCUUGCUACAGCUCGAUCGGGAUCAAGAUUCAUUACAAUACAGCAAACACAUUUUAAUAGUCAAAAAUCAUCACACUAUCAUUUUAUCACUUUAUGGCAUGUAUAAAUAGACUCACGCGUGCUACGUUAGUCCUAGAAUCGACUAAACCGUAGCUCUGAUACCAAUAAAAUGUAACACCCCUAUCCCGUAACCGUCGCCAGAAUAGGUAAGGGGCAUUACCGGACUUGUAACUCAUGUCAGAACAUUAAAAUUUUAAACUUUUUCUUGAAAUAAAGAUCAUUCAUUUAAAUAAGUACUAAGCACAGCUAGAGUUAAAAUUUAAACUUCACUAAGUAAACAUUCAAAAGAUGCAAUUUUCGCAUGGCUUAUAUACAUUAACCAAAAAUAUUCUUCCGCCACUAGUCUAUUCUAUACAUGCCGUAAAAUAGUUCUAAACAUAACAGUAACAAGCAGUGGAUAGUGAUAGUGUGACUAGUUGCUGACGAUCCCCGAGCCUGUACCUUCGCAAUGGGAUCUAUAAAACAGAGGAAACAGAGUAAACGGAGUAAGCAUUACAAUGCUUAGUAAGUUUUAAGCAGUGUCAACAGAUAACAAUCAAAUUAUAACAUAGUUGUUCGUAUUUUUAUUUCACUCUUCCUUCGGGCAUACCAUCCCUUUACCGAAUAUGCACAUCUCAUCAUAUACAAUAGGCAGAUAAACUUUCACAUAAAAGUGAGCUCAUGUGACAUAGAUAUAUCGUAUGAUUUCACAUAACCUCUCACACUGAUCCGAUGUCACAUAAUCAUAGGAAUAGUCUCAUAGAUUGCUCUCGUAUGCAUCACAUAACUACCUUAUGAUUUAGUGCAAAUCAAGCUCACAUAUAAACUUGGAGUACAUACCUGUUUAACCUUUCGCAUUGAAUAUAUUUAUAAGCAAUUCUUAUUACGAAGUCUUAUAGCUUUAACCUCUACUCGGAUUAUCGACGAGACCUUUAGCUCGGACGUAAUCUCCACACGAAGUUAUCGGGUCUUACCCGGACAAAAUCUCUACACGUAGUCAUCGGGUCUUACCCGGACAUAAUCUCCACACGUAGUCAUCGGGUCUUUAGAGCUCGGGUAUAGUACGAGCACGAAGCCUACGGACAUUAAUCAGUGAUAAUAUUCUCGCAUAAAGCCUGCGGGGUUUUAACCCGGAUAUAGUACUGACACAAAUGCCCUUCGGGACUUAUCACAUUUAUACACUUUCACAUUCAUCACAUUGGCCAUUAGGCCUUAUCACAUAUAUAUACACUUUCACAUUCAUCACAUUGGCCAUUCGGCCUUAUCACAUAUAUACACUUUCACAUUCAUCACAUCGGCCAUUAGGCCUUAUCACAUAUAUACACUUUCUCAUUCAUCACAUCGGCCAUUAGGCCUUAUCACAUAUAUAUACACUUUCACAUUCAUCACAUUGGCCAUUCGGCCUUAUCACAUAUAUACACUUUCACAUUCAUCACAUCGGCCAUUAGGCCUUAUCACAUAUAUAUACACUUUCACAUUCAUCACAUUGGCCAUUAGGCCUUAUCACAUAUGUAUACACUUUCACAUUCAUCACAUUGGCCAUUCGGCCUUAUCACAUAUAUACACUUUCACAUUCAUCACAUCGGCCAUUAGGCCUUAUCACAUAUAUAUACACUUUCACAUUCAUCACAUUGGCCAUUAGGCCUUACCACAUAUAUAUACACUUUCACAUUCAUCACAUUGGCCAUUCGGCCUUAUCACAUAUAUACACUUUCACAUUCAUCACAUCGGCCAUUAGGCCUUAUCACAUAUAUAUACACUUUCACAUUCAUCACAUUGGCCAUUCGGCCUUAUCACAUGUAUACACUUUCACAUUCAUCACAUCGGCCAUUAGGCCUUAUCACAUAUAUAGUAUCAUGUACAGACUUGGUCUUGGCCGAAUCUACAUCCAUCACUUUCCAAUGAAUAAUUCAAUUUUACGCCAUACUAUCAUUUCAUAUUCGAAUACUCAUAAACUUACAAUAUCACGAUUUAGAAUUCAAGUAUGGGUUUAAUCAAUAUCUUAUGAGCAACUAAAACAAGUUUUAUCCAUGUUUACAACAAAAUCACAUAUUCACUACGAGCUGUUUUCCUGAGUAAUGGUCACUAAAUUAUUUAUAACUGGAGCUACAAGACUCCAAAUCACUUGCCGUUAAUUUUCCCUGAAUAUAGACUCGUAUAUCUUCUAGUCAUAAAUUUUUUAGAAUUUGAGGUUUGGCCAAUCAAUACCAGAUUUUUCUUAAAGUUUCCCCUGUUUCACUGUUUGACUAAUCUGACCAGUCUUCACUACGAAUCAAAAUUCUCAUUGUACAGAAUUCAAAGUAUGUUCUAUUUGAUUUCAUUUGAAACUAGACUCAUUAAGGAGUCUAAGCAUAUAAAUUUUAUCUUGUAACCAUUUUUGUACAAAUUAUAGUGAUUUUCUUGAAACAGAAUAGGGGAUUUCGGAGUCAUUCUGACACCGUCUCACACAACUUUAAAUAUCUCUUUAUAGGAAAUUCCUUUGCUUACACGGUCUCUUUUAUAAGAAACUAGACUAAUUAAGCUUUGAUUGUAUAUUUUAUUCAGCCUAUAAUUCCACACCAAUUAUUUAUAGUAAUUUUCUAAAAUCACGUUACUGCGGCUGUCCUGAGCAAAUUAUUACAAUUUGCUCUUAAAUUUCCCGGUCCAAACACUUAGGAACUUACCAUUUGAGUUUCAGACAUAUCAUGACCACAUCAUAUCUUAUUAAAUAAACUCAUUAUAUCCUAUUAUAGUUGAAUUUACUCAACAUUUAAUCACUUAAAACUUACCUCGGAUGUGGUCGAACGAUUUCGGCGGCUAUUCGAUCACUUUUUCCCUUCCCUUAUCCAACUUUGGUCCUCUAAGCUCUUGAGCUAAUUCAAACAAAUUUAACUUAUUAAAGUCUCAUUAUGCUAGCUUAUGGCCGAAUAUGACAAGGAGUUUGAUUGGUCAUAUGGCCACCUUCUAGCUCAACUACACAAUGGUCAUAUGCAUUUUUAAUCACAUCAAGCAAUUUAAUACAAUUCAUUCGAACAUCAAAAGAAAACCUCAAGGUACUUAGCCCAUAUAUACUUUAGGCAUUAGAGUCACAUAUAUAUAUAUGGAAUCAUGAAUCAAACUCAACAUUUUAGCUAAUAUUUCCCCUUGGCCGAAUUUUCUAAGUCAAGCUAAAGCCAUCAAUAGGCUACCUAUGGCCGAACAUACACAUAACUUAUGUACUUAUUCAUGUGGCGGAACAUACAUGUCUAUGUUGGGCCGAUUGCAACACUUAAUACAUUCUACAAGUAUGGUCACUUGUAUUGAGUAAACACCAUUUUCUUUCAAGUUCAAAACUUGGCUAAUACACACAUAUAUACACUAGUAAAGCAUCCUCUCCUUUUCCAUCAAUUUAACACAUGCAUUACUCAUUAAUAUACAAAAAUUAUAUUCGGCCUUAGCACACAACUUGCUAGCCGAUUCUUCUCCAUUUAGCAACUAAUGCACAUAUGUGCUCAUUCGUUAGACUCUACUUCAUCUAACAACAACCAUAUUUUCCCUUCUACUUCCUACCAUGGCCGAAUGCAUCACAACACCAUACCAUUUCAAUUUUUGGUCAUGGUUAAACAAAGAACUUAAUGUCUCACUCAAAAAUGCUAAAAAGAAGAUUCAAGAAUCAUCAAUCCACCAUCACAUGCACCAUUACAAAGCUUCACUUUUAGCAUGCAAAUAAUAUCAACACAAAUCCACCUUGGCCGAAUAUCAUCUCCAUGACAUAGUAAAGAUUUGAACCAUGGGCUAUUUAGAACUCAAGCUAACUACUAAAACAUGCAUGCAUCUCAUGGAACAUCAUCAAAC